GGCUAGAGGAGGAAAAGCCAUGUCCAAGCAGAACAGCUCUGUACAAGGCAGUUCUUCCUUAAGCACAGUUUGCCUAAAUAGCUCUGGACUGGGAUGGUGCCCUGGAAAGGUAUUUGUGGGGUUUGGGGUGAGAACUUACCACUGUACCUGCUAGUGGGGGCCUUGAGCCUGUUACAUAGAAAGGAGAAUCAUUUGGGAGACCACAGCAGUAAUCCUGGUCCUUCAAAUGGUCUGUGGAUUCUCAGCUUUUCUGCUUGCCUUGCCAUUGUCAACAAAUGGUUCUGAUUACACUUGUCCAGUUCCACUCUGGUUGAAAAGAAAAUAAGCCUCUGAACAAAUAAGCAUGUGCUCUUCCAGGUAGCCUGUGAUGAUAUUGCAGUGAUGCCUGUUCCCUGAGCAUGCUGUGCGUUUUCUCACCUCAGGGUCUUUGUUCAAGCUGCUGUUUCUAUGUGGAAUUCCCUGUCUGUCUCCACCACCUGCCAGAUGCUUGCUGAUCUUUCAAGAUGGAAGUAAAAGGAUACUACCUCUCCUAAGCU